rnacentral:rRNA from 1 species
CAGCCGUAAACAAUGUGCGUUAGGUGUGUCGGUAACCACGCGUUACUGAUGCGCCGAAGAGAAAUCGUGAAACGCACCACCUGGGAAGUACGGUCGCAAGGCUGAAACUUAAAGGAAUUGGCGGGGGAGCACCACAACAGGUGGAGCCUGCGGUUUAAUUGGAUUCAACGCCGGACAUCUCACCGGAUAAGACAGCUGAAUGAUUGUCAAUCUGAGGGUUUUACAUGACUAGCUGAGAGGAGGUGCAUGGCGUAGACGUCU